UACGUAGGGUCCGAGCGUUGUCCGGAAUUAUUGGGCGUAAAGGGCUCGUAGGCGGUUUGUCGCGUCGGGAGUGAAAACACCGGGCUUAACUCGGUGCUUGCUUUCGAUACGGGCAGACUGGAGGUAUGCAGGGGAGAACGGAAUUCCUGGUGUAGCGGUGAAAUGCGCAGAUAUCAGGAGGAACACCGGUGGCGAAGGCGGUUCUCUGGGCCAUUACUGACGCUGAGGAGCGAAAGCGUGGGGAGCGAACAGG
rnacentral:rRNA from 1 species